AAAAGCUUCAGCACUGAGGAGAAGCAACGGUGGAUCUCUUCCACACUUAUUAUUUGAGUGCUUUAGAAUUUUCGAUGCCAACCAAUGCAUGAUUUAGUAUACCGAGUGACAAGUAUAAUGAUGUUCUUUAAUUUUAGUGACUUUUUCACCCAACAGACUAUUAUCAAAUGCCCCUAUCGAAAAGAUAACGCUACAUGAACGAAAGGUAUCCUACAAGGCGUUCCGAUUAAGUGAGGUUAAGAAAUCACAGCAAUGACGAACCCAAGCGAAAAGAAAAAUCUUUAACUGAAGCAUUUAAUAAAAAUGGCACCUGUGGGAUAUUUGUGAAGUCGUUGCGUUCAUGUUCGUGGUUUCAUUUCCAGUUUUUGCUUCGAAUUAUUUGAGUUGGUGCUGCGUUCGAAGACGUCACUAGCUGAUGGAGGAGAAUCCCGAGUCAGAUCAUAUCGAUUGCUGGAUCCGGUGCACUACAUGUUCGGGGUUCAGCCAAACCACGACAAGCGGCUUUUUGACUGACUAUGUUCACAAGAAGAAAACGGCAAGUAUUUUAUGUCAAUUCAUGUGUACAUUUGUUGUACAAUUAGGGCGUUGAACGAUGUCCGAUGCGAUUUGUGAUUAAUGAAAUCUGUUCGAAAAAAGCUUUGGCAAAAGAAUUGAAAUUUUGCAUUGGCGCUUGGUGUGAUUUGGCAGAACCCCGACCACAUAUGUAUUUCAGAUCCCGCACCGGCAAAUGCCGUAAAAUAUCAAGACAGCGUAUGAGACAACUUUUAUUGACGGUUCAGUUCAUAUUAAAACAUUUUAAAGCUUUCUCUCGCACUCAACAUCAAACUUCUAAAACAGACCACCGCUUCCAAUGUUGAGUUUUUGGCCAAAAUGAAAGAAAAUCCAGCUUCGCUAGUCGAAAUUUUCGGAAUUAAAUAUCUUGCGAUAGAAGAAUAAAAUAUGCAUUUGUAUCAAUUGCUUGCCAUACUUUAAUUGAUUUUCAUUUAUUCCUAAAAUAGAACUAGAAAAUAUUCAGAAUAUGUAAAAAAAAGCAGUAUUUCAAACCAUUUGCAGCAUGAAUGUAUUUCAUUGAUAAAUACUAUCAAAAGUAUGUGCCAAUUUUAUGGAUCCUAUAUUAUGCUAAUAUCAAUGAGAUAGAACUGAACAUUGGAGAAAAUCCAUUACACAUACUUUUUAUUGGGCAAACUCCAUUGCAAAAAUCCAUGUGGGUCGGCACAUGAAUCUGAUGGGCUUUUUUUCUUGAGUGAACUCCUGGACAAAAGUUUGGGUUCAUCCUAAAUAAAUAUAGGAAAAAGAUUUUGACCGUAUUCUGCCGUGCCAAGCAUAGUUGUCCCAUGUCGUUUUUACGAAGCCAUUCCCACUGUGCUGGCGGUGUCACAUGUGCUCAUAUUGUCUAUCCGGAAUAAAUUUAUAACGCUUUUAAAACCGAAGUUGGAUUUUUCUCCAGAAACAGGCAACUUUCUCAACUUCGGAAGUAGUGCGCUGGAUUCGCCUAACGAUGCACUAAUCAACGCAUCAAUUAGUUUGACAAAUAAAACUUCGGAAGAAAGUUCGGUUCGGAAGUCCCGACUUCCGAAUUCGAUAGCCUCACACCUCGGGAAUUUGGUACGCGGAUUUAUUCCCCAUUUAUUUUUACAUAUGCGAUGUUCUCGGGAUUUGAACACGGAAAAUCAAAAUCCCGGCCCCCUUUAAAGGCUGCCUUAAAGGUAGCCUCACACCUUCCCCAUGCAUUUUUGCAU